GCUGAUGGUAGGUGAGCAGACAGAAGUUGUGUCAGUGAACAGAGAGGGCUCUCAGUCUGGGGCGAGCGCUCUAGUGAGCGUGGACGGAUGCUUAGGCAGUAGUCCUGGCAGCGGCAGCGGCGGCGGGCAGUAGUGGUGGCAGAAGAGGGGAAGAGAGACGGCCCGGAGACCGACACACUCACACUUUCAAGUUCCCUUGGAGGGAGAGGAGUUGGGGCUGCAGAAAGAGGCCAGGAGCGGUCCCAUCUAUCCCAUCCCGUUUCCCACUUUUCCUCUUGCUCCCUGGCUCUGCGAGAGUUCAGGAUUUGGGUAGCCAUACGUGGCAUUGAGGGAAAAGGGACUGGGAGAGUGGGGACCAGAACCAGGGGUGUAGUGGAAGAUGCCCAUCCUGCUGUUCCUCAUAGAUACGUCCGCCUCCAUGAACCAGCGCACUGACCUGGGCACCUCCUAUUUGGACAUUGCUAAAGGCGCUGUGGAGUUAUUCUUGAAGCUGCGCGCCCGGGACCCAGCCAGCCGCGGAGACAGGUACAUGCUGGUCACCUACGAUGAGCCUCCCUACUGCAUCAAGGCUGGUUGGAAGGAAAAUCACGCCACAUUCAUGAAUGAACUGAAAAAUCUCCAGGCUUCUGGACUGACUACUCUUGGUCAGGCUCUAAGAUCCUCCUUUGAUUUGUUAAAUCUCAAUAGAUUAAUAUCUGGAAUAGACAAUUAUGGACAGGGGAGAAAUCCAUUUUUUUUAGAGCCGUCUAUUUUAAUUACCAUCACAGAUGGAAACAAGUUAACAAGUACUGCUAGCGUUCAAGAAGAGCUUCAUCUUCCUUUGAAUUCUCCUCUGCCUGGAAGUGAACUAACCAAAGAACCUUUUCGUUGGGAUCAAAGGUUAUUUGCCCUGGUGUUGCGUUUGCCUGGAGUGGCUUCUACUGAGCCAGAGCAGCUAGGGAGUGUCCCAAGUGAUGAAUCAGCCAUCACACAGAUGUGCGAGGUCACAGGAGGUCGCUCCUACUGUGUGAGAACACAAAGAAUGUUAAAUCAGUGUUUAGAGUCACUAGUUCAAAAAGUACAGAGUGGUGUAGUUAUUAAUUUUGAGAAAACAGGACCGGAUCCACUUCCUGUUGGAGAAGACACACUGAUGGAGUUGUGCAGGCCAAGCAACCUAUUUGCUGCUCAACCGUGGCAUAGUUGUCAUAAACUCAUCUAUGUGCGACCUAAUUCUAAAACUGGUGUUCCUGUUGGACACUGGCCAAUUCCAGAAUCGUUUUGGCCAGAACAGAAUUUACCUUCACUACCUCCACGAACAUCACAUCCUGUUGUGAGGUUUUCCUGUGUUGAUUGUGAACCAAUGGUUAUAGACAAACUUCCCUUUGACAAAUAUGAACUUGAACCGUCUCCCUUAACUCAGUAUAUCUUGGAAAGAAAAUCUCCUCAUACUUGCUGGCAGGUGUUUGUUACCAGCAGUUCAAAAUAUAAUGAGCUUGGAUAUCCAUUUGGUUAUUUGAAAGCGAGUACUACUUUAACUUGUGUAAACCUCUUUGUGAUGCCUUACAACUACCCAGUCUUACUUCCUCUUUUAGAUGACUUGUUUAAAGUGCACAAGCUUAAGCCAAAUCUGAAGUGGCGACAGGCUUUUGACAGCUACUUAAAAACUCUGCCUCCAUACUACUUAAUAGUAUGUAUUUUUUGUGUGUGUAUAUAUGUAUAUGUAAACUGUAACUGAUGAUUCUUGUUGUAAGGAAUAAGGAAUCAAAAGCUUUACCCCCCCCCCCGCGAGAAGAUAACUAUCUUUUUACUUUACAAACAUUUGUGUCGUCAUUGUCUUCUCAAAUUGUAUGCAAGAGUUUAGAGGUGACAUGGCGGCACAAAAGAGCAUUGUCUUUCUCUGUUUCCUUUAUUUUUAACUGCCAUGGUCAUUGUUCUCAACACAUCUAUGUUUUUCUUAUUACAACUAACCUUACCCAAUUGUAAUUCUGGAAUGUGAGAACAAAUAAUGUCUCAAUUCAUGCACACCAACUUCCCUUUUGAACUCUAGAAGCUCAGUGUGGCAUUUCAUUCCUUAAACAAAAUUUGGAAGAAAUCGUAGUUCUUUAUUACCAGUUAAAUGCAUCCUUGACACAACAUGAUGUAAACCAUUCGCAUUAGAGAGCAUCUAAGGAAGAGAAAAACGUGGCUUGGCUUCCUUCUGGUUUUGAAUCUUUUGAGAAAACUAUGCGGAAUGAUUCUGAACCGGUCACGUAAUCAAGAUGAUCAAGGCCAUUUCUGAGGUCGUUGUCAUAACUUACUGCCACCUUUCUAGAGGUUAAAAGGCAUAGACUUCAAUGGGACCAUUGCUGGGAGGGGAAGUGGGGUGUGUUCCUAUUUACCAUGGCAAGUGUGGGCUUUGUAAUCCGAUGCAGUGGGAAGUGAUUUGAUGAUGGGAUUAAAACUGAAAGCAAUGUACUUGUUUGCAUUGGCUGCUACUGGCUCUUCUUACCCACUCUCUUCUGAUUUUUUUCUGCUCCUUACUUCUCUGCUAUUUUCAUUGCCACUUUUGAAUGUUCCAUGUUUGGUUUUAUGUGCAGCACCUUGACUUCUAAGAAAUGAAUCAUGUCCCCCUUGCCCCUUAUAACUGAACUUUUGAGUAUUUAAGAUUUAUUCUAUUCUUACUGUUGUGUAUUUUGUUUCCUUAUAGCCAUUAAAGAAAGCACUAAGGAUGAUGGGAGCUCCAAAUCUGAUAUCAGAUAAUUUAGAUUGUGGACUUAGUUACAGUGUUAUCUCUUACCUUAAAAAACUCAGCCAACAGGUAGUAUUGGUAAAAUCGAACAAACCAAAAUCCUUUGCCCUCAGAAGUGCAUUUCCUUAUUCUUUAGUGUAAUUGUAACUUUUCAAAUUAAAUGUGUAUAUAUCUCUACACUUUAUGGAUUAGUAAUAAUGUGAUUCUCUGUGGCUUCUAGCUUUACCAUUAAACGCAGUUAAGGGUCUGUCAGUAUCAUUGGAUGCUGUGCCGUCUCUCCUUCUGCCUGCCAGUUUGUCCUGCCCAUAUGCUGGCUGAUAUUUUGUGGCCUAAGAGGGGCAGAAGCUUAACAGGAUUCUCUUGUGGGUCCCAUUUUGUCUGUCCUCCAACUAGUUUCUCCUCAAUUCACUUGGCUAGAGCAUCCCCCUUUUGUGAGUCAGCACACCAAGGUCUGGUGGGAUUCAAUGCUUUGCCCACUCUUCAGGCAUCAUGUAAAGUUCUUAUCCUCACAUGCUAGCCCUUGGAUAAAUAGCUGCCUGCUUUACCCUGGAGAAGGGGGCACCUGAGACCAGUAUUCUUCAACCUGGAGGGCAAUAGACCUUCAUCUUUCCCUUUAGACCCGCCUCAUUCACCAUUAUUCAACUUGUCCCUUGCCUGCCCCUCUCUAUUAGCACCUCAUCUUCCACUCACCCCUCCUUAUCAUAUUUCUCACUCUUACCUAGACCAUUCUUGUAGGAUGGAGAUAUUUGGAAAUUACUAUGCUAUGGCCAUACAACUGUGUGGUGUGAUAAAUGAAUGCAGCUGCUUUACUCUCAUAUUCACAAAGGCAGUUUUAGGUAGGGAGUAGCACUUGCAGCAACCACAGCAUUUCAAGCUGAGCACGUUUUGCAAAUUUGGCCUUUAGAAAACUGAGUCUUAAGCAAAGUGUCAGCUUUCACUAAGGGACCUGGAGGGCUUCAUAAUUGGGAUGCUGACACACCUUGCUAGGAAUGAGCAAAAACUUAAACCCAAAUUCUAAAGCUCACAAGAGCAUACUAGUCUAGCAUGCUCAUAAGUGCAAAAGAAAACAAAGGCAAGCCCUGACUUUUGACCUAACGAGUCCCCUAACUCCCGGGCCUCCCUGCUAAUAGAUUGUUAUUGUUGUAAAUACCUUGGCUAUUUAUGGAUCUAUUGAUCUAAUAUAUAUUUUAAUUUGAUGUUUAUGUUGGGCCUUUAAGGCUUUGUCAAGGUAUGGCCAGAAAGGAAGAAAAGUGCACAGAGUUGAAACUAAAUGCUGGGACCUUGUGGGACACAUAUCCUUUUAUUGAAUGAACUUUUACGGUCAUUCAAGAAAACAGACCCCUUAUCUACUUCUGUCUCAUAUUUCAUGACUUAAGAAUUUGUUUGAGUUCAUAUUUAUAUGAGUUCAAAAAUAUAUUCCAAAGUUAGUUAGGGAAAAUAAAUAUCUCUGGCCAACUCAUAAAAACUAAAAAAAAAAAAUUAUUGGGGGCUUAUUGAACAUUAAUGGAAUUUUAUCUUUUAGAAAAAGGAAAGAUUGCUACUAAUUUCUUAUUCUCUAAUUACUAAUUAAAUAUCUAUAUCACCAUUGUUCCCUGAACCAUCUUAGAUGUAUCUAAAACACAAAAUAUGCCAAAAUCCCUACUUUUAUUCAGUCAAACAGAAUCAAGUGAUAAAAUGUCUUUUAAGGAGAUUUCCCAAUGUUUGUUAGUGAUAAACUUACUGAGUAGACAUUAAAAGUCAUUUGCUUAGUAAUAUUUGUUCAAAUAAGCUUUAGUUUUAUAAGACUUACUGGAUAAUCUGAUUUUUUUAAAAAAUCAACAUCAUUUUUAAUGUUUUCAGAUAUAAUGCCAAUCUAUAUAUGUUCUGAAUCUAAACAAUACAUGUAUAAGUACAGACUUUUAAACCUUUCUGUCUGGAUCAAAACUGAAUGAGUUGAUUUAGAUUGGAUUUUGCAGUAAUGAGAUAUAGUUUUUCAUGUCUAUGAAUGAAAUUCUUGCCCAUGGUUUCUAUUUUCUCCAUGAGUCGUUCAUAGUUUUGACACUCCAAGAGACACUUUGCAUGAAGUCCUCUGUCUUUCCAGUCCCCUCUGUGUUUGCUGGGGUAGAACAGAGAAGCAUAGAGGAGGUUCACUUACUGUUUUUCUGUGAUUUGCACAUGAAAACUGUUUGGUGGGGUUCUUAAAAGUAUUUUUUCUUAAAGAAUAAAAUGAUGAUAUGGUAGAUAUUUUCAUAACAUAUUCUGUACUUCCCUUUUAGACCAAGCUAGAGUCAGACCAAAUUCUAGCAUCAGUGGGGAAGAAACCUCCCCAGGAAAUUGGUAUCAAAGUGAAAAACCAUUCUGCAUGUGGCCUACCCUUGGCUCACAA